GAUGAACGCUGGCGGCGUGCCUAAUACAUGCAAGUCGAGCGAAUGGAUUAAGAGCUUGCUCUUAUGAAGUUAGCGGCGGACGGGUGAGUAACACGUGGGUAACCUGCCCAUAAGACUAGGAUAACUCCGGGAAACCGGGGCUAAUACCGGAUAACAUUUUGAACCGCAUGGUUCGAAAUUGAAAGGCGGCUUCGACUGUCACUUAUGGAUGGACCCGCGUCGCAUUAGCUAGUUGGUGAGGUAACGGCUCACCAAGGCAACGAUGCGUAGCCGACCUGAGAGGGUGAUCGGCCACACUGGGACUGAGACACGGCCCAGACUCCUACGGGAGGCAGCAGUAGGGAAUCUUCCGCAAUGGACGAAAGUCUGACGGAGCAACGCCGCGUGAGUGAUGAAGGCUUUCGGGUCGUAAAACUCUGUUGUUAGGGAAGAACAAGUGCUAGUUGAAUAAGCUGGCACCUUGACGGUACCUAACCAGAAAGCCGCGGCUAACUACGUGCCAGCCGCCGCGGUAA
rnacentral:rRNA from 1 species